AUUGAACGCUGGCGGUAUGCCUUACACAUGCAAGUCGAACGGUAGAGGGGCAACCCUCGAGAGUGGCGAACGGGUGAGUAAUACAUCGGAACGUGCCCAGUCGUGGGGGAUAACGUAGCGAAAGCUACGCUAAUACCGCAUACGACCUGAGGGUGAAAGCGGGGGAUCUUCGGACCUCGCGCGGCUGGAGGGGCCGAUGGCAGAUUAGGUAGUUGGUAGGGGAAAGGCCCACCAAGCCUGCGAUCUGUAGCUGGUCUGAGAGGACGACCAGCCACACUGGGACUGAGACACGGCCCAGACUCCUACGGGAGGCAGCAGUGGGGAAUUUUGGACAAUGGGCGAAAGCCUGAUCCAGCCAUACCGCGUGCGGGAAGAAGGCCUUCGGGUUGUAAACCGCUUUUGUCAGGGAAGAAAUCUUCUGGGUUAAUACCUCGGGAGGAUGACGGUACCUGAAGAAUAAGCACCGGCUAACUACGUGCCAGCAGCCGCGGUAAGAC
rnacentral:rRNA from 1 species